UCCUGAUAAGAUCGUGACAACCUACUGAUAGCAAAUUCUUUUAUAUUUUUCAAUGAAUCGAAUGCGGGCGAGGGAUCUUCCUAGAAUUGUUCAAGCUGGUUGUCACUUCAUACCCUGCUUUGUAUUUAAUCCUCAAGAAGGUUCUAGGAGUUCACUUUUUGCUGCGACAGAUUCUGAGGUUCCAGAACACUGCGAGUUACUGAAAGCGGAUGAGUGGCCUGUUUGUGCAUUCAUCUCUCAAGAUUGCCGUCCAACAAACCCUUCUGAAGAAGCACACAAUGUCGAAACCUCUUACCGGGUAUGGGAAAAGACAUUAGAGAUGAUAGGCCUUCCGUCAGAUUCUGUGGAGAGACUUAUAGAAGGGGAAGAGAUUACAUGCCGAUACGGUGGUCAUUAAGGUGUUUAUCCUCUCUUUUUACAUGGAAGUGCUGGUCGACGCAAAAGCCUCUGCACAGAAUGCUCGUGAAUGGCAUCUUCAAAUGUUUUCUGAUAGUAUUUCAUUACACUGAUUCUCAUUCAUGAAAGAAGGAAAAGGCCGAUUAGAGAACUCCGGCCAAAAUUCUGUGGGACAGUAAAUGUUAGGAUAAACUCCUCUUUCACACUUUGUGAGAUAGUUUAACAUUAGCGAGCCUUAUCCUCGGAAAUGCAUGUGCUUGUUAUAGGCUGUGAAGCCACUGCUAGUUUGUCUGCCACCGAGUUUCCCACUGUACAUUGUUUUGUCGAAAAUUGAUAAAAGCAUCGGGCAAUUCUAGCAUGCCUUUUGGCCAUUUAACUGGAUCUAUCAAGGGUUGAACAUGCUA